UACAGAGGGUGCGAGCGUUAAUCGGAAUUACUGGGCGUAAAGGGCGCGUAGGUGGGAGUCUAAGUCAGAUGUGAAAGCCCUGGGCUCAACCUAGGAACUGCAUUUGAUACUGGACUGUCUAGAGUGAGGUAGAGGGUGGCGGAAUUCCCGGUGUAGCGGUGAAAUGCGUAGAUAUCGGGAAGAACACCAGUGGCGAAGGCGGCCACCUGGACCUUAACUGACACUGAGGCGCGAAAGCGUGGGUAGCGAACAGGAUUAGAUACCCUGGUAGUCCACGCUGUAAACGAUGAAGACUAGCUGUUGGAGAGCUUAGGCUUUUCAGUGGCGCAGCUAACGCGAUAAGUUUUCCGCCUGGGGAGUACGGUCGCAAGAUUAAA
rnacentral:rRNA from 1 species